GUGGGGAAUUUUGGACAAUGGGCGCAAGCCUGAUCCAGCAAUGCCGCGUGCAGGAAGAAGGCCUUCGGGUUGUAAACUGCUUUUGUACGGAACGAAACGGUCCGGGUUAAUACCCUGGGCUAAUGACGGUACCGUAAGAAUAAGCACCGGCUAACUACGUGCCAGCAGCCGCGGUAAUACGUAGGGUGCAAGCGUUAAUCGGAAUUACUGGGCGUAAAGCGUGCGCAGGCGGUUUUGUAAGACAGGCGUGAAAUCCCCGGGCUCAACCUGGGAAUUGCGCUUGUAACUGCAAGGCUGGAGUGCGGCAGAGGGAGAUGGAAUUCCGCGUGUAGCAGUGAAAUGCGUAGAUAUGCGGAGGAACACCGAUGGCGAAGGCAAUCCCCUGGGCCUGCACUGACGCUCAUGCACGAAAGCGUGGGGAGCAAACAGGAUUAGAAACCCGAGUAGUCC
rnacentral:rRNA from 1 species